GGAAUAAAAGUCGUAACAAGGUCUCCGUAGGUGAACCUGCGGAGGGAUCAUUACAGAGUUCAUGCCCUAACGGGUAGAUCUCCCACCCUAUGUUAUCAUCACUUUGUUGCUUUGGCGGGCCGUCAGGCCUCGGCUUGGCUACCGGCUCUCGCUGGUAAGCGCCCGCCAGAGAACCCCAAACCCUGAAUAUCAGUGUCGUCUGAGUACUAUAUAAUAGUUAAAACUUUCAACAACGGAUCUCUUGGUUCUG
rnacentral:misc_RNA from 1 species